CAGGUCGACGAUUUUCCGGUUGAUCCUGCCGGCGGCCACCGCUAUUGGAAUACGAUUAAGACAUGCGAGUCGAGAGACAUUAUGGUCUCGGCGGACCGCUCAGUAACACGUGGAUAACAUGCCCUAAGGUGGGGGAUAAUCUCGGGAAACUGAGGAUAAUACCCCAUAGGUCUUCUAUGCUGGAAUGCUCGAAGGCCGAAAACUCCGGUGCCUUAGGAUUGGUCUGCGGCCUAUCAGGCUGUAGUGGGUGUAAUGGACCCACUAGCCCGUGACGGGUAUGGGCCUUGAGAGAGGGAGCCCAGAGAUGGACUCUGAGACAUGAGUCCAGGCCCUACGGGGCGCAGCAGUCGCGAAAACUUCGCAAUGGGGGCAACCCCGACGAGGGAAUUCCAAGUGCCAGCACUUUGUGUUGGCUGUUCUCCUGUCUAAAAAACAGGAGGAGUAAGGGGCGGGUAAGACGGGUGCCAGCCGCCGCGGUAAUACCCGCGCCCCUAGUGGUGGUCGAUAUUAUUGAGCCUAAAACGUCCGUAGCCGGUCUUUUAAAUCCUUGGGUAAAUCGGGCAGCUUAACUGUCCGAAUUCCGAGGAGACUGGAAGACUUGGGACCGGGAGAGGUCAGAGGUACUUCUGGGGUAGGGGUAAAAUCCUGUAAUCCUGGAAGGACCACCGGUGGCGAAGGCGUCUGACUAGAACGGAUCCGACGGUGAGGGACGAAGCCCUGGGGCGCAAACGGGAUUAGAUACCCCGGUAGUCCAGGGUGUAAACGCUGCGGGCUUGGUGUUGGGGGUCCUUUGUGGGCGCCCAGUGCCGGAGAGAAGUUGUUAAGCCUGCUGCUUGGGGAGUAUGUCCGCAAGGAUGAAACUUAAAGGAAUUGGCGGGGGAGCACCGCAACGGGAGGAGCGUGCGGUUCAAUUGGAUUCAACGCCGGGAAU
rnacentral:rRNA from 1 species